UACGGAGGGUGCAAGCGUUAUCCGGAUUCACUGGGUUUAAAGGGUGCGUAGGUGGAUUAGUAAGUCAGUGGUGAAAUCUCCGAGCUUAACUCGGAAACUGCCAUUGAUACUAUUAGUCUUGAAUUAUCUGGAGGUGAGCGGAAUAUGUCAUGUAGCGGUGAAAUGCUUAGAUAUGACAUAGAACACCAAUUGCGAAGGCAGCUCACUACGGAUAUAUUGACACUGAGGCACGAAAGCGUGGGGAUCAAACAGG
rnacentral:rRNA from 1 species